rnacentral:lncRNA from 1 species
CCGGCAGCCGCGGUGCAGCGGCCUCUCCCMCGAUACCUUCCCGGUCGCAUUUUCUUUGCCAGUGCCGUAAGAUCUGUGGCCGGACAUCACCAGUUUCCUAUUUUUACUCCCCACGCAUAAGCAAAGCUACAGCAAGCACUUCCUUACUUCAGGGGAAGGUUGCGAGGAGGCAGCUUCCAUUGCACCAUUUUCUUAGCARAAGAAGUUACGAUCUUCAGGCAAAAGCUUCUUUCAGGCUUGUCAGCCAUAGUCCAGAUAUCCUGGCUUGCAUCAGCUUGUUUCACAACAUCAACGUCUUUGGAGGCUGGAUUUCUAAAGGAUGCAACAAGUGCUUCUGCAAAGAAGCAAAUUUCAUCUAUCUAACUGCUGAAAGUCACCUUGAGAAUCACAGACUCCCAUUUGUACACUCAAACUGCGACAAUGCAAAUGUUUGCAUGAAUAAAUGUACACCAUGAAACAAUAAGUCAGCUUUACUGCCUCCUUUGGAGCUCAUUUUUAAAAAUUGCUUGUAAAUGACAAGAUCCACAUGAACAAAACAAUCCAUUGGACCUGUACUUCAAAAAGCAUAUAUUCCCAAGCUAAAUAGCUAUUUCAUUAGAUAUACACAGGUAGGCAGGUAUAUGCAUUAGGUUGUGGCCUAGUGAGGAUCUGCCCUGAAGGCAGAUCUCUGUGCCUGUGUGCAG